UACGUAGGUGGCAAGCGUUAUCCGGAUUUAUUGGGCGUAAAGGGAACGCAGGCGGUCUUUUAAGUCUGAUGUGAAAGCCUUCGGCUUAACCGGAGUAGUGCAUUGGAAACUGGGAGACUUGAGUGCAGAAGAGGAGAGUGGAACUCCAUGUGUAGCAGUGAAAUGCGUAGAUAUAUGGAAGAACACCAGUGGCGAAAGCGGCUCUCUGGUCUGUAACUGACGCUGGGGUUCGAAAGCGUGGGUAGCAAACAGG
rnacentral:rRNA from 1 species